GGUCAAGUGAAGAAGCGCAUACGGUGGAUGCCUUGGCAGUCAGAGGCGAUGAAAGACGUGGUAGCCUGCGAAAAGCUUCGGGGAGUCGGCAAACAGACUGUGAUCCGGAGAUGUCUGAAUGGGGGAACCCAGCCAUCACAAGAUGGUUAUCUUACACUGAAUACAUAGGUGUAAGAGGCGAACCAGGGGAACUGAAACAUCUAAGUACCCUGAGGAAAAGAAAUCAACCGAGAUUCCCUUAGUAGUGGCGAGCGAACGGGGACCAGCCCUUAAGUUGUAUUGAGAUUAGCGGAACGCUCUGGAAAGUGCGGCCAUAGUGGGUGAUAGCCCUGUACGCGAAAAUCCCUUUGCAAUGAAAUCGAGUAGGACGGGGCACGAGAAACCUUGUCUGAAUAUGGGGGGACCAUCCUCCAAGGCUAAAUACUACUGACUGACCGAUAGUGAACCAGUACCGUGAGGGAAAGGCGAAAAGAACCGCGGAGAGCGGAGUGAAAUAGAUCCUGAAACCGUAUGCGUACAAGCAGUGGGAGCCCACUUUGUUGGGUGACUGCGUACCUUUUGUAUAAUGGGUCAGCGACUUAUUUUCAGUGGCGAGCUUAACCGAAUAGGGGAGGCGUAGCGAAAGCGAGUCUUAAUAGGGCGUCUAGUCGCUGGGAAUAGACCCGAAACCGGGCGAUCUAUCCAUGGGCAGGUUGAAGGUUGGGUAACACUAACUGGAGGACCGAACCGACUACCGUUGAAAAGUUAGCGGAUGACCUGUGGAUCGGAGUGAAAGGCUAAUCAAGCUCGGAGAUAGCUGGUUCUCCUCGAAAGCUAUUUAGGUAGCGCCUCAUGUAUCACUGUAGGGGGUAGAGCACUGUUUCGGCUAGGGGGUCAUCCCGACUUACCAAACCGAUGCAAACUCCGAAUACCUACAAGUGCCGAGCAUGGGAGACACACGGCGGGUGCUAACGUCCGUCGUGAAAAGGGAAACAACCCAGACCGUCAGCUAAGGUCCCAAAGUCAUGGUUAAGUGGGAAACGAUGUGGGAAGGCUUAGACAGCUAGGAGGUUGGCUUAGAAGCAGCCACCCUUUAAAGAAAGCGUAAUAGCUCACUAGUCGAGUCGGCCUGCGCGGAAGAUGUAACGGGGCUCAAACCAUGCACCGAAGCUACGGGUAUCACCUUUGGUGAUGCGGUAGAGGAGCGUUCUGUAAGCCUGUGAAGGUGAGUUGAGAAGCUUGCUGGAGGUAUCAGAAGUGCGAAUGCUGACAUGAGUAACGACAAUGGGUGUGAAAAACACCCACGCCGAAAGACCAAGGUUUCCUGCGCAACGUUAAUCGACGCAGGGUUAGUCGGUCCCUAAGGCGAGGCUGAAAAGCGUAGUCGAUGGAAAACAGGUUAAUAUUCCUGUACUUCUGGUUAUUGCGAUGGAGGGACGGAGAAGGCUAGGCCAGCCUGGCGUUGGUAGUCCAGGUUUAAGGUGGUAGGCUGAGAUCUUAGGUAAAUCCGGGAUCUUAAGGCCGAGAGCUGAUGACGAGUGUUCUUUUAGAACAUGAAGUGGUUGAUGCCAUGCUUCCAAGAAAAGCUUCUAAGCUUCAGGUAACCAGGAACCGUACCCCAAACCGACACAGGUGGUUGGGUAGAGAAUACCAAGGCGCUUGAGAGAACUCGGGUGAAGGAACUAGGCAAAAUGGCACCGUAACUUCGGGAGAAGGUGCGCCGGUGAGGGUGAAGCAUUUACUGCGUAAGCCCACGCCGGUCGAAGAUACCAGGCCGCUGCGACUGUUUAUUAAAAACACAGCACUCUGCAAACACGAAAGUGGACGUAUAGGGUGUGACGCCUGCCCGGUGCCGGAAGGUUAAUUGAUGGGGUUAGCGCAAGCGAAGCUCUUGAUCGAAGCCCCGGUAAACGGCGGCCGUAACUAUAACGGUAAUAAGGUAGCGAAAUUCCUUGUCGGGUAAGUUCCGACCUGCACGAAUGGCGUAACGAUGGCGGCGCUGUCUCCACCCGAGACUCAGUGAAAUUGAAAUCGCUGUGAAGAUGCAGUGUAUCCGCGGCUAGACGGAAAGACCCCGUGAACCUUUACUAUAGCUUUGCACUGGACUUUGAAUUUGCUUGUGUAGGAUAGGUGGGAGGCUUUGAAGCGUGGACGCCAGUCUGCGUGGAGCCAACCUUGAAAUACCACCCUGGCAACUUUGAGGUUCUAACUCAGGUCCGUUAUCCGGAUCGAGGACAGUGUAUGGUGGGUAGUUUGACUGGGGCGGUCUCCUCCUAAAGAGUAACGGAGGAGUACGAAGGUGCGCUCAGACCGGUCGGAAAUCGGUCGUAGAGUAUAAAGGCAAAAGCGCGCUUGACUGCGAGACAGACACGUCGAGCAGGUACGAAAGUAGGUCUUAGUGAUCCGGUGGUUCUGUAUGGAAGGGCCAUCGCUCAACGGAUAAAAGGUACUCCGGGGAUAACAGGCUGAUACCGCCCAAGAGUUCAUAUCGACGGCGGUGUUUGGCACCUCGAUGUCGGCUCAUCACAUCCUGGGGCUGAAGCCGGUCCCAAGGGUAUGGCUGUUCGCCAUUUAAAGUGGUACGCGAGCUGGGUUUAGAACGUCGUGAGACAGUUCGGUCCCUAUCUGCCGUGGACGUUUGAGAUUUGAGAGGGGCUGCUCCUAGUACGAGAGGACCGGAGUGGACGAACCUCUGGUGUUCCGGUUGUCACGCCAGUGGCAUUGCCGGGUAGCUAUGUUCGGAAAAGAUAACCGCUGAAAGCAUCUAAGCGGGAAACUUGCCUCAAGAUGAGAUCUCACUGGAACCUAGAGUUCCCUGAAGGGCCGUCGAAGACUACGACGUUGAUAGGUUGGGUGUGUAAGCGCUGUGAGGCGUUGAGCUAACCAAUACUAAUUGCCCGUGAGGCUUGACCAU
rnacentral:rRNA from 1 species